UUGCACAGUGAACACACAAGUGUGCUUUAUAGUUCUCUUGGCCUUGACUCUGUGCUAGAGUCUGUUCUUUUCCUCUGCAUUGAAAGGAGUAUUGUCCUUUUAAAUGUAUUCAGAAAAUCAGUGCAUCA
rnacentral:snoRNA from 1 species